rnacentral:tRNA from 1 species
GCCCAUCAUCACCUGGAAUAGCUCAGUUGGUAGAGCAUGAGACUCUUAAUCUCAGGGUUGUGGGAUCGAGCCCCAUGGUGGGCA